AUAUAAGAAUAAUUGAUGAUACACAAGUCUCAAUGGAACGGCAUCCAUAUGAAACCCAAUGAUUAUGUGGGCAAAGCCUGAUUGCAAUAGCGGCCAAUGAGAAGAUGAAGAAGAAUGUGGUACAAUGUGACCUCCACCGUGACGCCUUUGAAACGCCUCUGACCUUUAAGUGAUGGCGAAAGGAAACGUAAGAGGAACACAAGUCUAAUGGACGCAGUGGAAGCGUUGAGGUGGAUUCUGACUAAAAUAACCAAAUCACGCUAUUAAACACGGCAAACAGGGUUUGCUGACUUUGGACGGAUGAUGUAUAAGGUGUAUAAACACAUGGAUGGAUGAAUGAUAGAUGGAUGAAUAGAUGAAUGGACCGACUGACAGGUGGAUGGAUGAAUGAUAGAUGGAUGAAUAGAUGAAUGGACCGACUGACAGGUGGAUGGAUGAAUGAUAGAUGGAUGAAUAGAUGAAUGGACCGACUGACAGAUGGAUGGAUGAAUGAUAGAUGGAUGAAUACAUUAAUACAAUACAGGUACUGUCGUCCAGGCGUUGUUCCUCCGCACACAAAGCAAAGUCCGUUUAAC
ensembl:lncRNA